GCCUCGGUGGUCUAGUGGUCAACACGCUCGCCUGGUAAACAGGACGUGGGUUCAAUCCCAGCCGAGGUA
rnacentral:tRNA from 1 species